rnacentral:rRNA from 1 species
AGUGAACGCUGGCGGUAGGCCUAACACAUGCAAGUCGAACGGCAGCACAGUAAGAGCUUGCUCUUACGGGUGGCGAGUGGCGGACGGGUGAGGAAUACAUCGGAAUCUACUUUUUCGUGGGGGAUAACGUAGGGAAACUUACGCUAAUACCGCAUACGACCUACGGGUGAAAGCAGGGGAUCUUCGGACCUUGCGCGAUUGAAUGAGCCGAUGUCGGAUUAGCUAGUUGGCGGGGUAAAGGCCCACCAAGGCGACGAUCCGUAGCUGGUCUGAGAGGAUGAUCAGACACACUGGAACUGAGACACGGUCCAGACUCCUACGGGAGGCAGCAGUGGGGAAUAUUGGACAAUGGGCGCAAGCCUGAUCCAGACAUACCGCGUGGGUGAAGAAGGCCUUCGGGUUGUAAAGCCCUUUUGUUGGGAAAGAAAAGCAGCAGGUUAAUACCCCGCUGUUAUGGCGGUACCAAAAGAAUAAGCACCGGCUAACUUCGUG